AUUGAACGCUGGCGGCAUGCCUAACACAUGCAAGUCGAACGGUAACAGGCCCUUCGGGGUGCUGACGAGUGGCGGAUGGGUGAGUAAUACUUAGGAAUCUACCCUGUAGUGGGGGACAACCCGGGGAAACUCGGGCUAAUACCGCAUACACUCUACGGAGGAAAGCGGGGGACCGCAAGGCCUCGCGCUAUUGGAUGAGCCUAAGCCCGAUUAGCUAGUUGGUGGGGUAAUAGCCUACCAAGGCAGUGAUCGGUAGCUGGUCUGAGAGGACGACCAGCCACACUGGGACUGAGACACGGCCCAGACUCCUACGGGAGGCAGCAGUGGGGAAUAUUGGACAAUGGGCGAAAGCCUGAUCCAGCGAUGCCGCGUGUGUGAAGAAGGCCUGCGGGCUGUAAAGCACUUUCAGUAGGGAAGAAAUGCUUGGAGCUAACACCG
rnacentral:rRNA from 1 species